UGCUUAUGGUAUAAAAAAUUGACCUGCCAUCUUUUUCUUCUCUUCUCCUUUGCCGCUACCUGAUCUUGUCUUUUCACGUAAGCAACUAACCAAUGACCCUGAUGGUCCUGCUGCCUGCAAGAUCUUCUAAAUCCUGGUGUAGGACCUGAGUCUCUGCCUCUGCUUACUGCUGCUCUAAUGUGACUUUCCUAAAAGACCGAUCAGGAGAAAUCUCAGCUGCCACUCCAAAACCAUCUGUAACAACACUUGAUGCCACAGCUGGCUGGGCCCUGCUGCAGUGUGAGGUUCAUGGUGCUUCUCGAACAUCUGGAGUAGAGUGGAAGGACCGUGCUGGAAACAGACUUCCUGCUGAGGAGACACAGACCCCAGAAAGAGACCACUACUACAUCACUCUCAACACUACUGUGACUAAGACUGGCCACUACCGCUGUGUAGCAACACAGGAGGAAAUCAGCCAUCAGACUCACGCUGAGACCUUUGUUUAUAUCAGUGGGAAAGAGUGUGAUGACUUAUCUGGAAAAGUGGCCAUCGGUUUGUUUGGUGGAUUGGUUUUGGGAGCUCUGAUUCUUGCUGUAGUUCUAGCUCUGCUUAAAGUCGCAAAUAUCAUCACAAUACGCCGCAAUAGAGGUUCUCGUCAGCAGGGAAACUGUUUGGGCAACCAGGGAAACCGUUUGGGCAACCAGGGAAACGGUUCAUGCGAAGAGCGUUCAGAGAUGCUACAUCCAAACACUUUUCCUCGAAGUAGCACAAAUGAACAGCUCCCAGUGCUGUGUUAGCUUACAAGUAAGGUAAGCUCCGGAUGGGAAACAUUUUAUUUCCUGGGAUGGCGAAGGCAUUUUACUCUGCCUCUGAUUGGCUAGUACUUGUUGCCUUCGUUAGUUGGAUUGGUUAGGUUUAGGCAUGAGGAGUGUGAUUGGUUGAGGUACCAGAGUAAGCCAAUCAGAGGUGGAGUAAGGCAACUGCCAGUAUUUAUUUAUGUUUUUUUAACAUCUUUAUUUAGAACACAAAGAAUGAUUACAAUGACAAACUCAAUGUUUGAUAAUUCAAGUAGAAUUCGAUCAGUAAUACAGUCACACCUCCUAAACUGAAUAUUUUCAUUAAACAAUAUUCAUAAGUAUCCGUUGUAGGAAAUAACUUGUCAGUGAAUGAUGAUGAUCAUAGUAAAUUUGAUCAACCAGGCAAAGGGUUCAUGUGAAGAGCGUUCAGAUCUGCUACAUUCACAAACUGGUCGAUGACGUUAAGUCCGUUUUAAAGGUGUUUGUGUGUUUACUUGUACAUCUAUCUUUGUGAGAACCAGUUUGAAUUUUUGAAUUUGUGCGGUCCUCGCUUUCAGACAGACUCUGAAAUGCCUGUUUGAGGGCUCAGACCUGGUUUUAAGAUUCAGGUCAGAAUCAGGUUUGGGUUAAACAUUUACAUCUGAAGUUAGAUGUUAAGGAAUGCAUUAUGUGUGAAGUACGGUGUGUGUGUGUGUUUGUGUGUCUGUAAAUAAUGUUCAGUGUAAAUAUGCAAUCUGUUGCCUUAUAGGAGAUCUUUGUGAGACUUAUUAUGGUCUGUUGUUGGUUGGACCUACAGAGUGAGUUUGACCAUAUAAAUAUUACUUUAUAAUUUACAAAAACAAGAAAAAUCAACAAUAUGACAAUCUACACUCUGACAGAUCAACAAAAAUUUAAUAAGGUUUCACAAAGAUCAUAUUUAUUGCAGGGAUUUUUAUUUUAUGUCGCUGUAUGUCAACAUCAAGAAUUCAGCUCUCUGCAUGUUCCUUUUUUAUUGUUUUUUUUUUUUUUUGUAUUUGACCUUGUUUUAUUUUCCUGUAUCACCAUCUCAUCUCAUAUGUUCUCACAGUUGUAAAGUCUCUCCACUGGACUAUAGUUACAGACUUUAUAGCAGCUGAAUGAGCGAGAUGAAGCUCCAAAGAAACUCAACUAAACAGUGAAAAGUUACCAAAAUGAUAAUGAGAUGAAUGAAACCUUCAAAAAUCAUCACCUAUGUUAAAGUGGUAAUAAGAAGAAAAAUGAAGAAAAAAGAAACUCACCUGAUACAAUUAAAGUAACUUUAUUUUUUAUAUAUUGAUCCUCUGUUUUUGUUUUGUGACGCAGUUUGUAACAUGUUACAUGAAAAGGUCUAUGUAAAUAUCAUUAUUAUAAAUAUUAACUUCCUAUAGCUCAGAGGCUUAAAGGGAAAAGGACAGAACUAAAGCCCUCAAUAAUCAGGUGACCUGUGAGACCGACAGAUCUCAGAUCAGCUCUCAGGCUGACAUUAAAAUCUAUAAUAUUUAUGUAAUAUAACCUGUAGUUAAACUAUGGAGUUUAAAACUGGAGAAGAUAUCCUUAAUGAUAGGCUGGAGGAGUUUGAAAAGAUCUGGAGACCGAUGAUAUCAUUUAUGGAAAAGAUGAACGGUUAAGAUUCACCACGCAGGCAUCUAAGUGGCACUAUAUUGGGGUGGGAAGGGGUGGAUGGGCACUGUCAAGUUCCUGAUUUCUUUUUUAAAGUUUUUUUUAAUGUCAUUUUUUUUUUUUGUGUGUGUGUGUGUGUGGUUAUUGUUUUCAAUUACUUGUAUACCUAUGUUGUUUAUUUGUGUAAUGCUGGGGCAUUUACAUCUUUGUACGGUUUGUCUUGGUUCAGUAUUUGAAAAGAAGCAGGAUAUCCAUUCCACAACAACUGUAAUACUGUUGUUGUUAUGCUUCAUAAUAAAAAUAUUUAAAACAUUAAAACUGAAGAUGAGAAAACAAUCACAAAGCAACAAUUCUCUAAAUAAAUAACUAAAUAGGAUGCUGAGAAGUUAGUUAGUUGUUAGAUAACAUUAACAUUCUGAAUGGUCCCAUUGCUGUUAGGUAUUAUUGGAGCGUCUCCGGUGGUAGAGCGGUCGCCUACCAAUCUAAAAGUUGGUGGUUCAAUUCCUGCAUUUGGAGAUAAUGAUGGUCUGAUGAUUUCAUUGUAAAAAGAUAUUUAAGCUGAUUUUCUAUUUUUGUACUUUCUGUUGUGUGAAAUGUCUACACUGCACUCUGCUCUUUGUUGUAUGAAUUUACGGUGUCUUGUCGGCCCAUGCAGACUGGCCAUAGUUAUAUACAUGAAGUCAUGAUAAAAAUGUAAUUUAUUCAAUUAUUCUGAAACUCAAAGGAAGCUUGUGAAAUGAGGCAGUUAUGGUUGAUACUAUUUUCUCUUCCUCUAGAACUGGUUUAAAGUUCAGAAGUCUGAACAAGUUGUCAACUAGAGAGUGACUUUAUUCUGAAUUCUGAAUAAAGAACUCGCUUCCAUAUCAAUGACUAGAUAAUCAUUAUGAAGAUAUAGUUGUUGUGAUAACACCAACGGGUCAUAAUGAAAUCUACAACAAAAUUGUAAAGCACUUUGUAACAUAUGUUUUCUUAGUUAUUUUAUUAAAUUUUAGGCAUUCAAAUGCUGUCUUUAAAGCACAUGUGGGCAGCUGGCCAUAUAUAAUAUAUAAUUGCAUAUUGUUAUUCUUAAACUCCAAUGCAGCAUGUGAAAUGCUUUACUGUAUAUAAAAUAAAAUUAUAUAUUUUAAAAUGA